rnacentral:lncRNA from 1 species
AUUGGGAAAUCCGUGGUAACCUUUAUAAAUAGACCACUAACAUUUAUUUUGUAUAAAAGAAGAGGACACAUUGAUAGGAAUUUUUCAUAUUAAAAAUUUGCUGGAAUUACCUGCUUAGGUGGACUGAUUUUACCAGCACAGAUGUGUGACAGUUCAGAAAGUAGGAUGGGGACCUGUGUGUGGCAUGGCUGUGGUGGGUCACUGUUUUUCCACUCUUCAGAGCAUCACCCUUUUGCCCACCUUGUAACUAGUAACCUUCUGACUUUCUCACUUCUCCCACUCACCAUUAAUGCCUGCCUCAUUGUCUGCUCUGCCCCAACUUGAUUGGAUUUUAUUGCUCCAUCUAUUUCUCUGACUGCUUGGGGUUCUGAGCGCAUCUCUGCCAGUGACCUCCUUCCCCACUCACCCCAGACCCUCACUCUGUAGACCCCGUCUGUGUACGUCCCAUGGGAUCCUUUGCUGCUUACUCAGGGUCAGUUCCCUCCUUAGCCAACUUAGAUUCUGUGGUUCAGAUCUUAACUCACUCUCUUACCAAGACCCUCUACUUCCUGACCAUUUUGUCCUUGUGUUGUCUCCUGGGUUGCUGACCAUUGCUGGAGAAAGUCACAUGGCAGGGCAGACUGGGACCUGUUCGCAUAGGGCUGGCCACCUGGGUGCUCCCUAGCAGAUGCACUGUGUUUCUCUGGUUCGCUGUCAGUCUUUUGUAGUGACUGCUACAGGCCUAGUCCAUGCGUUUCAAAAUUCUUCCUGCUUCUGUUUUUACUUCCCUUCUGCACAUGACCUACUUUCUACUUCACAGAGCUAACAGAGACCAUCACAGGGACCCCCUCACCUCUUCCAUUACACCCCCAACUUAAAACAUCCUCCCCGCCUUUGCCCCUGUCUACCCACACCUGCUCGUCUUCAUCUGAUGGGCCAUUUCUGCUUUUCUUCACGGGCCUGCGUGCUGAAGUGGUCUCCCCAGGGCAUCUGAUCCUCCCUCCUCUGUCCACUGCAUUCCUGCAGUAGGACCCUCUUUGCCACCUGCCAGCAAACCCCUUUCAUUAGCUGGGAACUUUCUGGCUUGCUUUCUUAUGCGCUCACUGCUGGCUCUCAGUCAUCUUUGAUGUUUUCAUCUCUGUCGGACUUGUCAAAAGGUGAUUCAGAUGUGUAUUUUUUAAGUGCAGGGAAAUAUUUUCCUUUUGUUUCUGAGGUGCUAGGGAUUGAGACAGGGGCUGCAUGCAUGCUAGGCAGGCACUCC